CCAGCAGCUGCGGUAAUUCCAGCUCCAAUAGCGUAUAUUAAAGUUGUUGCAGUUAAAAAGCUCGUAGUUGGAUCUCGGGUACUAGCAUGUGGUACGCAUAACUGCUGUUACUACAUGUCUGGUCCUAAUCAAUCGGUUGGCCGUUGAUGUCCUUCAUUGGGUGUUUUCGGUAGCCGGUACGUUUACUUUGAGAAAAUUAGAGUGCUUAAAGCAGGCUUGAGGCCUGAAUAAUGUUGCAUGGAAUAAUAGAAUAGGACCUCGGUUCUAUUUUGUUGGUUUUGUAGAGCAUUGAGGUAAUGAUUAAUAGGGACAGUCGGGGGCAUUCGUAUUUCAUUGUCAGAGGUGAAAUUCUCGGAUUUAUGAAAGACGAACUUCUGCGAAAGCAUUUGCCAAGGAUGUUUUCA
rnacentral:rRNA from 1 species